rnacentral:rRNA from 1 species
UACGUAGGUGGCAAGCGUUGUCCGGAUUUAUUGGGUUUAAAGGGUGCGUAGGCGGCCCCGUAAGUCAGUGCUGAAAUAUCCCGGCUUAACCGGGAGGGUGGCAUUGAUACUGCGAGGCUUGAGUAAAGUUGAGGUAGGCGGAAUUGACGGUGUAGCGGUGAAAUGCUUAGAUAUCGUCAAGAACACCGAUAGUGUAGACAGCUUACUAAGCCUUAACUGACGCUGAGGCACGAAAGUGUGGGGAUCAAACAGG